rnacentral:lncRNA from 1 species
CCUGUGAUGGAGAGAUCAAAUGCAGCUGUAGGUGUCACUGGGAAAUGUGGGCUGUUCUAGUGACAAUGUAGUGGUGGGGAUGCAUGUACCAAAAAAAAAUGCUUUUAUUUUUUUCAUUUUUAACGGUGAAGUUGUUAUUGACUGUUCUGGCUCUCCCUCAUUUUGCUUUAAGUCCCAGGUCUUUUACUUGUUUGCUUUUACCCACACUGAAACGCGUGCUCUGAAGCUGUCAGAAGUCAAUAAAAUAUCUAUGUGAUGUGUCAUUCCCUCUCGGCUGCGCAGGGAUGCUGCCAUCCCUUAACGACACGGAGAUGGAGAGUCUUCAGAAGGACAGGCGGGUGCUGGUGAUGGAUGCUCAUCAACGCCACUGAAGGUUUUAAUCAGGAUCCUUUUCCCUGGCUGAAGGCUAGAACAGCUCUUCUGCAGCUUUGCUGGGAGGAAGACUUCAGUGCCCCUCCUGUGGAGCCCACCCUUCCCAAAGAUCACGAUACUGCUCAAAGCAACAGGAACCGAUGCCAUGGGGUGCAGCGGUGGGGACCAGCCCGGCUACCAGAGCCCAGGCACCAGGACAGCCAUUGGCAUGGUGGCACCUCCCACCCCCUGUCAGCGUGGCCCAGUGCCUGGGAGGAACAGACAUCUUGAAGCAAGAACACUAUUUUUUAUGCUAUGGUCUUUCCAAGUCCUAGCAAAGCCAUGAAAAAUGCCACAAUUCUGCAGGAAGGGAGACGAGGCCAUGCCAAACCAUGGCAUCUCCCACAAGCGGGACAACAUGAAGUCAAGAGAUCGUGAGGUCUGUGUGUUCCCAGCCCUGAGUCAGCCCCCAAGUUUUUUUUGAAGCAAUAUUUAAUUUACAUUUUCAGAAGCAUCCAGAAUCAACCAGCUUGGCUAGCCCAAGCCCGACGGCACAUACUCACUUAAGUUUUAUUUAGCCACGACAGCGUUUUCAUGGACAUUGGGUAUUACUGGAGCCUGUCUCAGUCUGCUCUGGAGAGCCGCAGCGUUGAGGUAAUGUCCUGUGGGGCUGCCAUUAGCUGGUGAAGCUGAGAGAACGCUGGGGAGCAGCUGGAAGGGCUGAGAGCCUGCUUUGUGCUCGCACUGUCUGACUUUUCUGAUGCUUGACUUUGUGGCUGCGUUUCCCACUGUGCAGCCAGGAACUUCAUGCUUUCGCUUCAGUAAAAUAAAUUGUGUUGUUGGCCUUUAAGCUCUCA